UUUUACGGAGCCAAAGUUGCAUGUUCACCGGUAGUCUCACGUUCGACGAGAGAACAGUUGCGGGUGAAAAGGAUCAUAGUGACAUGCCAAGUUAUAGCAGCGGUUAGUACAAAUAUAUUUUCCUGGUGUUUUGUGUGUGUGUGAAAGAUAUUUUUAAUACAAUACAGAGUGAAGUUGCACUCUAUAUCGCUGUUAAAAUCAGUGCAAUAAGAAGACGAAACCAGCAAAACAAGUUUGCUCCUGUAGGCAGCGUGGUUGAAGACCUUCUUGCUCCAACAUGGCGCAACCGAGAUAUUCAUGUACAAGCAAGUUUAAGAAAAUAGAGAAUCUUCUGAGUAUCUUUCCGUUGUGUCUGCGUUGCCUAUCCUGUGUAGACACCAGGGUAAUAUCCAGGAUACCCUCCACUGGGAUAUCCUCCGUUGGGAUAUUCUCCUCUGCCAGGGUAACCUCCUUGGUUUGACUGUGGCACAUUGAAAACCUCCACCUCAUUGUCGACUGGAACUCCGCCAGGAAUCUUGCCUCCAUCUGCACCUGACACUGGACCUUCAUCUUCAUCGCCGCAAGGAUUCGGUCUUGUCUCUGGAUACACAGGAUUUUCUCCUGAGAAAAUAUCACAGGUGGGAGGAGCGGUCAGAAAGCGCAUAUCUUGAAGCGACUAGCGGAAUCUUCGUUAAGGUUAAUACAUUGUCCAUGUACAACUCGUAAAUUAUUUUAUACGUAAGAUAUGAAGUUCUCACGGGGCUGAUGCUGAUUGUGGGCUUCUAGGUUAGGCCGUGUAGUCUUGUAGGUGAUUAACAAUGUUCGUCAGGCACUUCAACUCCGAUGAUGGAGAGAAAGCUUUCCUCCAAAAUGUUGAUAGCCACCUACAAGACUUUACAGCACUACAGCCCACAAAAUCAGAAAAUAUAUAUUUCUAUAUAGUCUGCCGUAGAGACGUGAAACUUUAUCAUACCGUGGUUUCGAUCUCAAUGUCCUAUUUCUUUUCAAAUAUCGUUUUAUUUCCGUCUCUGUCUCGUCUUAAAUUACAUAUCUGUGACCUUACAGACGUUGCAUCAGCUGUUUCCACUUUUUAAAUAUUAACCUCUUUUACUUUGAUAUGGUCAGUACAGUGUAUCUGCUGAUCACAAAAUUGCCUCAUAAAUGCAAUGUGUAUAAUCGACACUACCUUUAUUAGCGAGGAGGAACACGUAUGUCGUUGUGAAAUAGCGAUUCUGUUAGUACCUAAAUAUUCUAGAGUUAAAUUCUCUGUUAAUGUAACAUGACUCUUAACUUUAACCUACUUUUUCGUGAAAAUAUUUUUAUUAUGAUUUGUUAUAAUGUUUCCAAGCCAAGCAAUUAGAGAGUCAUGUGAAAACAUGAGACAGUUGUUAACAUUUACUUUAUUUAAAGCAAUCACUGUUGAUACAGAUGUAAUGUCGUAAGAUUUGCUCGUAUACAAAUAUGCAAAAAAAUAAAUAACGUUGUAAUGACAUGAAAUCAGUUACAUAUUACGAGGAAACUCUUCGACCUUUUUUUCUUCUGCCCUCCGCAAAGAUACGAAUAGCCAAUGCGGGCCGCGGUAAUUAAAAGGUUGCCGACCGUUGUUCUAUACUCGAACUUUGGAAAGUUAAAGAAAAUUUGAGAUUGCAUAAAACACUGCAAUAGGCCUGUAUUGUGUAUUAUGAAUCGCUGAUAUUUAUACAUGAAGCCUAGAUCUAAUGUACUGACAAGUUAUCGCAAAAUAAAUUCGUACAAGGAACAAAA